CUGUGAAAUGAAGACAAGGGAAAAAGUUGGUUCAAUAGGUUUGAAGUCCAUAGACUGACUUGAGGGACAUACUAGUCAAAACGAAAGCAGGCAGUGAUUCUGGUAGGCACGGGAGCAGACUGAUGCUUUCUCCACCCUUUGUACUCAGGAUCUGUGGGGUUAGAUUCCAUUUUCCUGCUCCAUUGAGCUGUUUCUGCUUUUAUAGAAAAGUAGAUGCCAUUGCUACCCAGGUGCGAUUCUGUAUCGUUCUUGUGUCUUUUAUAGCUGUAUUUAUGACUCGUGAGUAGAGACUGAAGGCUAUUGACUUCCGCUGAUAUUUUCCAGGUGAUAUUAAUACAAACGGCAUGAAGUUUUGGCCUUGAGGGGAAAGUUUCAGUAAAAGGCUAUCUGGAAUAAUUAAACCUAUCAUACAAGCCUUGUCGUCCUGAAAUGAAACGAAGAACAAAAUUAACCUGACAGAAAUUCCAGCCUACUUACAGCUCUGAAGCCCUGGAGCUGGUUGAAAAGGCUGGAAUCUGGAUUGUGUUGGUCUUGAAACCUAGUAUGUUCUAGGCAUCAGCAUAUAGCAGUUUUGUAAUUAGCUAACUGUAGAAGAAGUGGGAAAAAAAAGAAGAAACCCAUUUUUUACUGCUUCUGCGCUUCAGCCUCGUCCGCUGCUUUAUCCAUGAUGUCUAUGUUUUGUGAAUUUGGUAUGGCGUUCUUGCUGGCUUCGGAAAGAAAGACUGGGCACGGAGGGUGUUACAGGUGCUACCAAUGAGCACGGAGUAGACCUGCGAGUCUCCUUUCCAAAGGAUACCAUUAUUGGUGAAAGUGAACAUGGGCUCAAGAGAAGACAGGACAAGUUCAUGAAGCGGAAAUCCACUGUGCAUGUCAAAAUGGUGCAUCAGCUUAUGGCUGGAGAGAUGGGCUGGAUGGAUCUUUGAUGUGAUCCAGUACAGCCAUGUCAACAUUACGGUUAGUAUCUGCUUGCACAACAAAUUCCUGGUAUUAGCUUCAGAUUCACACUGAAGGGCUGACUGGCCAGAAAGCAGCUCUGCAGAGAAAGACCUAGGGAUUCGGCUAGUUGACCGUGAGCCAGCAAAGGAGGCCAAUGGUAUCCUCGGCUGCAUUAGGAACAGCAG